GACAGAGGGUGCGAACGUUGUUCGGAAUUACUGGGCGUAAAGCGCGUGUAGGCGGCAACGCAAGUCGGGCGUGAAAUCCCACGGCUCAACCGUGGAAGUGCACUCGAAACUGCGUAGCUAGAGUCCUGGAGAGGAAGGUGGAAUGCUUGGUGUAGAGGUGAAAUUCGUAGAUAUCAAGCGGAACACCGGUGGCGAAGGCGGCCUUCUGGACAGUGACUGACGCUGAGACGCGAAAGCGUGGGGAGCGAACCGG
rnacentral:rRNA from 1 species